AUGUGACGAUAAACAUGGUGAAAGUUUUGAAAGUGUGACGUCACCAUUUAUUUUUCAAACGCAAUUUUCAAUUGAAUUUUCUCAGUUCUGUUGCAUUUUAUUGGCAGGCAAAAAUGUAAAAGGGGUCGUUCAUAAUCGAGGUCACAUUACCAAUGGCGGAGCUUGGGGGAGGGAGUGGCAGCACCGGGCGCCAAUCUUGAGGGGCGCCAAAAGAGUUUGAAUUUUUUUGUACAAAAAAAGCUCAUUUUUAGCCGAAAUAUUGAAUUAUUUACAGUUUGAGUUAAGAAAAUAAACGGAUUCUAAGCUUUAGAUACUGAUUUAACUAUUUUCUACCUUGAUUGUGUACCAGUAAAAUAAAUACGCUUAUAAGUCAGUUACCAGUAAAAACUGCUCACAAAAUUUAUCCAAGUUGGGGGGAGCGCUUUUUCGCCAACUUAAAUCAGAAGGAUCGCCUACAACAGAUUGGAAUUGUGGCACUUCUAAGCAGCAGAAUAAUUCAUAAGGCUGGAUGCUUAAAAUAGAACUUUUUGACUGAAGAAUAACCUAGCAUGUCAGUAGUUAAAAUCUUGAAUUAGCAU